AUUGAACGCUGGCGGCAGGCCUAACACAUGCAAGUCGAGCGAGCGGCGGACGGGGGAGUAAUGUCUGGGAAACUGCCUGAUGGAGGGGGAUAACUACUGGAAACGGUAGCUAAUACCGCAUACCAUCAGAUGUGCCCAGAUGGGAGUAGAUAGUAGGGGGGGUAAUGGCUCACAGAGGUGACGAUCCCUAGCUGGUCUGAGAGGAUGACCAGCCACACUGGAACUGAGACACGGUCCAGACUCCUACGUGAGGCAGCAUUUGGGAAUGUUGCACAAUGGGCGCAAGCCUGAUGCAGCCAUGCCGCGUGUGUGAAGAAGGCCUUCGGUUUGUAAAGCACUUUCAGCGGGGAGGCGUUACCCGCAGAAGAAGCCCCGGCUAACUCCGUGCCAGCAGCCGCGGUAAUUC
rnacentral:rRNA from 1 species